GUCUAUUGUCAUACCACCCUGAACCUGCCUAACCUCAGAAACUAAGCAGGGUUGGGCCUGGUUAGUACUUGGAUGGGAGAUCACCUGGGAAUACUGGGUGCUAUAGGCU
rnacentral:rRNA from 1 species